UUAAUUGAAGCCAAAAAGAGGCUAAUUACUGUUACUAAUUAUAUUGAGGUCCCCCCCCCCUCCAAUUAAA
rnacentral:tRNA from 1 species